AUACGGAGUUACAAAGGACGACAUUAGACGAAUCAUCUGGAAAGAUGAAUCAAAGAAGGUAAUAAUCCUGUAGUCGAAAAUGUUGUCUCUCUUGAGUGGAUCCUGAGUACGACGGAGCACGUGAAAUUCCGUCGGAAUCUGGGAGGACCAUCUCCUAAGGCUAAAUACUCUCUAGUGACCGAUAGUGAACCAGUACCGUGAGGGAAAGGUGAAAAGCACCCCGGAAGGGGAGUGAAAUAGAACCUGAAACCGUGUGCUUACAAGUAGUCAGAGCCCGUUAAUGGGUGAUGGCGUGCCUUUUGUAGAAUGAACCGGCGAGUUACGAUUUGAUGCAAGGUUAAGCAGUAAAUGUGGAGCCGUAGCGAAAGCGAGUCUGAAUAGGGCGUUUAGUAUUUGGUCGUAGACCCGAAACCAGGUGAUCUACCCUUGGUCAGGUUGAAGUUCAGGUAACACUGAAUGGAGGACCGAACCGACUUACGUUGAAAAGUGAGCGGAUGAACUGAGGGUAGCGGAGAAAUUCCAAUCGAACCUGGAGAUAGCUGGUUCUCUCCGAAAUAGCUUUAGGGCUAGCCUCAAGUGAUGAUUAUUGGAGGUAGAGCACUGUUUGGACGAGGGGCCCCUCUCGGGUUACCGAAUUCAGACAAACUCCGAAUGCCAAUUAAUUUAACUUGGGAGUCAGAACAUGGGUGAUAAGGUCCGUGUUCGAAAGGGAAACAGCCCAGACCACCAGCUAAGGUCCCAAAAUAUAUGUUAAGUGGAAAAGGAUGUGGCGUUGCCCAGACAACUAGGAUGUUGGCUUAGAAGCAGCCAUCAUUUAAAGAGUGCGUAAUAGCUCACUAGUCGAGUGACACUGCGCCGAAAAUGUACCGGGGCUAAACAUAUUACCGAAGCUGUGGAUUGUCCUUUGGACAAUGGUAGGAGAGCGUUCUAAGGGCGUUGAAGCAUGAUCGUAAGGACAUGUGGAGCGCUUAGAAGUGAGAAUGCCGGUGUGAGUAGCGAAAGACGGGUGAGAAUCCCGUCCACCGAUUGACUAAGGUUUCCAGAGGAAGGCUCGUCCGCUCUGGGUUAGUCGGGUCCUAAGCUGAGGCCGACAGGCGUAGGCGAUGGAUAACAGGUUGAUAUUCCUGUACCACCUAUAAUCGUUUUAAUCGAUGGGGGGACGCAGUAGGAUAGGCGAAGCGUGCGAUUGGAUUGCACGUCUAAGCAGUAAGGCUGAGUAUUAGGCAAAUCCGGUACUCGUUAAGGCUGAGCUGUGAUGGGGAGAAGACAUUGUGUCUUCGAGUCGUUGAUUUCACACUGCCGAGAAAAGCCUCUAGAUAGAAAAUAGGUGCCCGUACCGCAAACCGACACAGGUAGUCAAGAUGAGAAUUCUAAGGUGAGCGAGCGAACUCUCGUUAAGGAACUCGGCAAAAUGACCCCGUAACUUCGGGAGAAGGGGUGCUCUUUAGGGUUAACGCCCAGAAGAGCCGCAGUGAAUAGGCCCAAGCGACUGUUUAUCAAAAACACAGGUCUCUGCUAAACCGUAAGGUGAUGUAUAGGGGCUGACGCCUGCCCGGUGCUGGAAGGUUAAGAGGAGUGGUUAGCUUCUGCGAAGCUACGAAUCGAAGCCCCAGUAAACGGCGGCCGUAACUAUAACGGUCCUAAGGUAGCGAAAUUCCUUGUCGGGUAAGUUCCGACCCGCACGAAAGGCGUAACGAUUUGGGCACUGUCUCAACGAGAGACUCGGUGAAAUCAUAGUACCUGUGAAGAUGCAGGUUACCCGCGACAGGACGGAAAGACCCCGUGGAGCUUUACUGUAGCCUGAUAUUGAAAUUCGGCACAGCUUGUACAGGAUAGGUAGGAGCCUUUGAAACGUGAGCGCUAGCUUACGUGGAGGCGCUGGUGGGAUACUACCCUAGCUGUGUUGGCUUUCUAACCCGCACCACUUAUCGUGGUGGGAGACAGUGUCAGGCGGGCAGUUUGACUGGGGCGGUCGCCUCCUAAAAGGUAACGGAGGCGCUCAAAGGUUCCCUCAGAAUGGUUGGAAAUCAUUCAUAGAGUGUAAAGGCAUAAGGGAGCUUGACUGCGAGACCUACAAGUCGAGCAGGGUCGAAAGACGGACUUAGUGAUCCGGUGGUUCCGCAUGGAAGGGCCAUCGCUCAACGGAUAAAAGCUACCCCGGGGAUAACAGGCUUAUCUCCCCCAAGAGUUCACAUCGACGGGGAGGUUUGGCACCUCGAUGUCGGCUCAUCGCAUCCUGGGGCUGUAGUCGGUCCCAAGGGUUGGGCUGUUCGCCCAUUAAAGCGGUACGCGAGCUGGGUUCAGAACGUCGUGAGACAGUUCGGUCCCUAUCCGUCGUGGGCGUAGGAAAUUUGAGAGGAGCUGUCCUUAGUACGAGAGGACCGGGAUGGACAUACCUCUGGUGUACCAGUUGUCGUGCCAACGGCAUAGCUGGGUAGCUAUGUGUGGACGGGAUAAGUGCUGAAAGCAUCUAAGCAUGAAGCCCCCCUCAAGAUGAGAUUUCCCAACUUCGGUUAUAAGAUCCCUCAAAGAUGAUGAGGUUAAUAGGUUCGAGGUGGAAGCAUGGUGACAUGUGGAGCUGACGAAUACUAAUCGAUCGAAGACUUAAUCAA
rnacentral:rRNA from 1 species